rnacentral:SRP_RNA from 1 species
CCGUGCUAGGUGGGGAGGUAGCGGUUCCCUGUACUCGAAAUCCGCUUUAUGCGAGACUUAAUUCCUUUGUUGAGGGCGUAUUUUUGUGAAGUCUGGACUCUCAUAUGUGCCGUAGGGUAGCCGAGAUUUAGCUAACGACUUCGGUAACGUUUGUGAUAUACGUUCGAUACAAAGGUGCACGG